rnacentral:rRNA from 1 species
GUGCCAGCGCCGCGGUAACACGGGGGACGCAAGCGUUAUUCGGAAUUAUUGGGCGUAAAGGGCGUGUAGGCGGUCUUAUCGGUCAGAUGUGAAAGCCCAGGGCUCAACCCUGGACGUGCAUUUGAAACAGUAAGACUUGAGUACUGGAGAGGAAAGCGGAAUUCCUGGUGUAGAGGUGAAAUUCGUAGAUAUCAGGAGGAACACCGAUGGCGAAGGCAGCUUUCUGGACAGAAACUGACGCUGAUGCGCGAAGGCGUGGGUAGCGAACAGGAUUAGAUACCCUGGUAGUCCACGCAGCAAACGAUGUACACUAGGUGUAGGGGAUAUUAAAAUUUUCUGUGCCGCAGUUAACGCAUUAAGUGUACCGCCUAGGGAGUACGGUCGCAAGAAUGAAACUCAAAGGAAUUGACGGGGGCCCGCACAAGCGGAGGAGCAUGUGGUUUAAUUCGAUGCACGCGAGGAACCUUAC